UACAGAGGGUGCUAGCGUUGUUCGGAAUCAUUGGGCGUAAAGGGCGUGUAGGCGGUUUGCUAAGUCAUGUGUGAAAUCCCUCGGCUUGACCGGGGAACUGCGUCCGAUACUGGAUGGCUCGAGUUUGGGAGAGGGAUGCGGAAUUCCAGGUGUAGCGGUGAAAUGCGUAGAUAUCUGGAGGAACACCGGUGGCGAAGGCGGCAUCCUGGACCAACACUGACGCUGAGGAGCGAAGCCAGGGAGCAACGGG
rnacentral:rRNA from 1 species